CCCCUCUCGGGAUCACACCUGGAGAGUUUCCGGUACUCUGCCAGCCUUGGGUACGGGAGGGAGAGUCAAGCAGGGGCAUACCCGUUCCAUUCCUAGCUUGGACAGUGGCUAGGGAGUGGAAAGCAAUCUGCUACAGGU